rnacentral:rRNA from 1 species
GAUAAACGCUGGCGGCGCACAUAAGACAUGCAAGUCGAACGGACUUAACUCGAAGUUUACUUUGAGAGCGGUUAGUGGCGGACUGGUGAGUAACGCGUGAGCAACCUGCCUAUUAGAGGGGAAUAACAGUGAGAAAUCAUUGCUAAUACCGCAUAUGCCAUAGUUAUCGCAUGAUAAUAGUGGGAAAGGAGCAAUCCGCUGAUAGAUGAGCUUGCACCUGAUUAGCUAGUUGGUGGGGUAACGGCUCACCAAGGCGACGAUCAGUAGCCGACCUGAGAGGGUGACCGGCCACAUUGGGACUGAGACACGGCCCAA